UUCGGCUCGGAAGGAAGAAGAGAAUCCUUAAGCAGAGGUUGAAGGUUUCACCACAGUUGAAUCAGUUCACCAAGACUUUGGAAAAAAAACCUUGUGGUCUUCAUAUUUUAUCCCGAAAUUUGUGGGACUGAUCCUAGGGCUUCUGCACUAGAGGCAAACGUAGAGGUGGAGGCGAGGCGCCAUUAGAAUCAACUUCAGCAGGUUCUCAAGGAUAACAUACAGCUGUUGAGGCAACGAUAUUACUAUGCAACUUGGAAAGCUGAUGGGACACGAUAUAUGAUGUUAAUAAACGUUGAUGGAUUCUACGAUUGAUAGAAGUUUCAACUUUAGAAGGGUUCAGAUGAGAUUUCCUUGCAAAUCUACAAGCGAAGUAUGCUUUCUAUAAUUUUUGAGAUAAAAUUAUUCUUGGACCUUAUUUUUUGAAUUAUUAAGUACAAGGUUACUACUCUUUGUUAUAGUAUAUUUUAUGAUUGUUGCUAUUAAUUUUUGCAUUAUGUAAUUAGUUUCUAGUUAGUUAUUAUGAUACAUGGAAUAUAAAUUUUAGGAUCGUUUCUAUUAACAAUUUUGGUAUUAUGCAAUUAGUUAAUAGAAUUAAUUACUAAUUUUAUAUAAGUUUUAUAAA